rnacentral:rRNA from 1 species
AAUCAACGCUGGCGGCGUGCCUCAGACAUGCAAGUCGAACGAUUAAAGCUCUCUUCGGAGAGUGCAUAGAGUGGCGCACGGGUGAGUAACACGUAAGUAAUCUACCUUCGAGUGGGGAAGUAACGUCCGGAACGGACGCUAAUACCGCAUAAUGCAGCGGCAUCGCAAGAUGACAGUUGUUAAAGGAGCAAUUCGCUUGAAGAGGAGCUUGCGGCAGAUUAGCUAGUUGGUAAGGUAAUGGCUUACCAAGGCUACGAUCUGUAACCGGUCUAAGAGGACGGUC